CUCUUUAACAAAGGGGGGGCAAAUGAGUUGGCGGCCGCCUUAUACAUGCAAGUCGAACGAGAAAGCACCUUCGGGUGUGAGUACAGUGGCGGACGGGUGAGUAACGCGUAGGAAUAUACCCAGUAGUGGGGGACAACUCGGGGAAACUCGAGCUAAUACCGCAUACGCACUACGGUGGAAAGUGGGGGAUCUUCGGACCUCACGCUAUUGGAGUAGCCUGCGUUGGAUUAGCUAGUUGGUGAGGUAAAAGCUCACCAAGGCAACGAUCCAUAGCUGGUCUGAGAGGACGAUCAGCCACACUGGAACUGAGACACGGUCCAGACUCCUACGGGAGGCAGCAGUAGGGAAUCUUGGUCAAUGGGCGCAAGCCUGAACCAGCGAUGCCGCGUGUGUGAAGAAGGCCUUAGGGUUGUAAAGCACUUUCAGCAGUGAAGAAACGCCGGUGGUUAAUACCUGCCGGUACUGACGUUAACUGCAGAAGAAGCACCGGCUAACUCCGUGCCAGCAGCCGCGGUAAUACGGAGGAGGCAAGCGUUAUCCGGAAUGAUUGGGCGUAAAGCGUCUGUAGGUGGCCAGCUAAGUCUGCUGUUAAAGAUCACAGCUCAACUGUGGGAAGGCAGUGGAAACUGGCAAGCUAGAGGCUGGUAGGGGUAAAGGGAAUUCCCGGUGUAGCGGUGAAAUGCGUAGAUAUCGGGGAGAACACCGGUGGCGAAAGCGCUUUACUGGGCCAGACCUGACACUGAAGGACGAAAGCUAGGGGAGCGAAAGGGAUUAGAUACCCCUGUAGUCCUAGCUGUAAACGAUGGAGACUAUGUGUAGCACGUAUCGACCUGUGCUGUAUCGUAGCCAACGCGUUAAGUCUCCCGCCUGGGGAGUACGCACGCAAGUGUGAAACUCAAUGAAUUGACGG
rnacentral:rRNA from 1 species